rnacentral:rRNA from 1 species
GACGAACGCUGGCGGCGUGCCUAAUACAUGCAAGUUGAGCGAUGAAGAUUGGUGCUUGCCCCAAUUUGAAGAGCAGCGAACGGGUGAGUAACGCGUGGGGAAUCUGCCUUUGAGCGGGGGACAACAUUUGGAAACGAAUGCUAAUACCGCAUAACAACUUUAAACAUAAGUUUUAAGUUUGAAAGAUGCAAUUGCAUCACUCAAAGAUGAUCCCGCGUUGUAUUAGCUAGUUGGUGAGGUAAAGGCUCACCAAGGCGAUGAUACAUAGCCGACCUGAGAGGGUGAUCGGCCACAUUGGGACUGAGACACGGCCCAAACUCCUAUGGGAGGCAGCAGUAGGGAAUCUUCGGCAAUGGACGAAAGUCUGACCGAGCAACGCCGCGUGAGUGAAGAAGGUUUUCGGAUCGUAAAACUCUGUUGGUAGAGAAGAACGUUGGUGAGAGUGGAAAGCUCAUCAAGUGACGGUAACUACCCAGAAAGGGACGGCUAACUACGUG